rnacentral:rRNA from 1 species
UAAUACGUAGGGCGCAAGCGUUGUCCGGAAUUAUUGGGCGUAAAGAGCUCGUAGGCGGCUUGUCACGUCGGGUGUGAAAGCCCGGGGCUUAACCCCGGGUCUGCAUUCGAUACGGGCUAGCUAGAGUGUGGUAGGGGAGAUCGGAAUUCCUGGUGUAGCGGUGAAAUGCGCAGAUAUCAGGAGGAACACCGGUGGCGAAGGCGGAUCUCUGGGUCAUUACUGACGCUGAGGAGCGAAAGCGUGGGGAGCGAACAGGAUUAGAUACCCUGGUAGUCCACGCCGUAAACGGUGGGAACUAGGUGUUGGCGACAUUCCACGUCGUCGGUGCCGCAGCUAACGCAUUAAGUUCCCCGCCUGGGGAGUACGGCCGCAAGGC